rnacentral:rRNA from 1 species
AGCUCCAAUAGCGUAUAUUAAAGUUGUUGCGGUUAAAAAGCUCGUAGUUGGAUUUCUGUUGAGAGCAGCCGGUCCACCUUUUGGGUGAGUAUCUGGAUUGAUCUCGGCAUCCUCUCGAAAAACAUUUCUGCGCUUGAUUGCGUGGUAUGGGGUUCGAGACUUUUACUUUGAGGAAAUUAGAGUGUUCACGGCAGGCAUACGCCUUGAAUAUAUUAGCAUGGAAUAAUACUAUAGGAUUUCGGUUCUAUUUUGUUGGUUUCUAGAGCUGAAAUAAUGAUUAAUAGGGACAAUUGGGGGCAUUCGUAUUGACGAGUCAGAGGUGAAAUUCUUGGAUUUCGUCACGACGAACUACUGCGAAAGCAUUUGCCAAGGAUGUUUUCA